AUUGAACGCUGGCGGCAUGCCUAACACAUGCAAGUCGAACGGCAGCGCGGGGGCAACCCUGGCGGCGAGUGGCGGACGGGUGAGGAAUACAUGGGAAUCUACCCUGUCGUGGGGGAUAACGUAGGGAAACUUACGCUAAUACCGCAUACGACCGAGAGGUGAAAGCGGCGGACCGCAAGGCGUCGCGCGAUUGGAUGAGCCCAUGUCGGAUUAGCUAGUUGGCGGGGUAAAGGCCCACCAAGGCGACGAUCCGUAGCUGGUCUGAGAGGAUGAUCAGCCACACUGGAACUGAGACACGGUCCAGACUCCUACGGGAGGCAGCAGUGGGGAAUAUUGGACAAUGGGCGCAAGCCUGAUCCAGCAAUGCCGCGUGGGUGAAGAAGGCCUUCGGGUUGUAAAGCCCUUUUGUACGGGAAGAAAUCCUGUCGGUUAAUACCCGGCGGGGAUGACGGUACCGUAAGAAUAAGCACCGGCUAACUUCGUGCCAGCCGCCGCGGUAAAAC
rnacentral:rRNA from 1 species